UACGUAGGUGGCAAGCGUUGUCCGGAUUUAUUGGGUUUAAAGGGUGCGUAGGCGGUCUUAUAAGUCAGUGCUGAAAUAUCCCGGCUUAACCGGGAGGGUGGCAUUGAUACUGUAGGACUUGAGUAGAGUUGAGGUUGGCGGAAUUGACGGUGUAGCGGUGAAAUGCUUAGAUAUCGUCAAGAACACCGAUAGUGAAGACAGCUAACUAAGCUCAAACUGACGCUGAGGCACGAAAGCGUGGGGAGCAAACAGG
rnacentral:rRNA from 1 species